AUCGCUUCUCGGCCUUUUGGCUAAGAUCAAGUGUAUUCCUUAUAAUAAAUAUGAAGAUUAAAUAGUUUUUUUUACUUAUGUUGAAGGUGGAGUGGAGUAAGUGAGCUUCAACAAAGUGGGUAUAUUUUUCCCAACAUCAAAC
ensembl:snRNA U2 U2 spliceosomal RNA